AACGAACGCUGGCGGCGCGCCUAACACAUGCAAGUCGAACGAGAAUCCGGGGCAACCCGGUAGUAAAGUGGCAAACGGGUGAGGAAUACAUGGGUAACCUACCCUUGAGAAGGGAAUAACCCGCCGAAAGGUGAGCUAAUACCCUAUACGCUAUCUUUUUUUCGAAAGGAUAGGAAAGCCGGGUCGAGGACCUGGUACUCAAGGAGGGGCUCAUGUCCUAUCAGCUUGUUGGUGGGGUAACGGCCUACCAAGGCUACGACGGGUAGCUGGUCUGAGAGGAUGAUCAGCCACACUGGCACUGAGAUACGGGCCAGACUCCUACGGGAGGCAGCAGUGAGGAAUAUUGCGCAAUGGGCGAAAGCCUGACGCAGCGACGCCGCGUGGGGGAUGAAGGUUUUCGGAUUGUAAACCCCUUUCAUGAGGAAAGAUAAAGUGGGUAACCACUUAGACGGUACCUCAAGAAGAAGCCACGGCUAACUUCGUGCCAGCAGCCGCGGUAAGUCGAUAUCG
rnacentral:rRNA from 1 species